AUUGAACGCUGGCGGCAGGCCUAACACAUGCAAGUCGAACGAGUGGCGGACGGGUGAGUAAUGUAUGGGAACGUGCCCGAUAGCGGGGGAUAACUACUCGAAACGGUGGCUAAUCACGCAUACUAUCGGAUGUACCCAUAUUGGAUUAGCUAGUGGGUGGGGUAAAGGCUCACCAAGGCGACGAUCUAUAGCUGGUAUGAGAGGAUGAUCAGCCACAUGGGGACUUAGACACGGCCCAGACUCCUACGGGAGGCAGCAGUGGGGAAUAUUGCACAAUGGGGGAAAGCCUGAUGCAGCCAUCCCGCGUGUAUGAAGAAGGCCUUAGGGUUGUAAAGUACUUUCGGCGGAGAGGCGUUACCUGCAGAAGAAGCACCGGCUAACUCCGUGCCAGCAGCCGCGGUAAUAC
rnacentral:rRNA from 1 species